AGUCGAACGGCAGCAAUGGACUUCGGUCUGGUGGCGAGUGGCGGAAACGGGUGAGUAAUGUAUCGGAACGUGCCUAGUAGCGGGGGAUAACUACGCGAAAGCGUAGCUAAUACCGCAUACGCCCCGGGGAAAGCGGGGGACCUUUCGGGCCUCGUAACCAUUAGAGCGCUGAUAUCGGAUUAGUUGUAUUGUGGCAACGGCUCACCAAGGCGACGAUCCGUAGCUGGUUUGAGAGACCAGCCACACUGGGACUGGAGACGAUGCGCCCACUCCUACGGGAGGCAGCAGUGGGGAAUUUUGGACAAUGGGGGAAACCCUGAUCCAGCCAUCCCGCGUGUGCGAUGAAGGCCUCUCGGGCUAAAAAGCACUUUUGGCAGGAAAAGAAACGGCACGGGAUAAUACCCCGUGCAACUGACGGUACCUGCAGAAUAAGCACCGGCUAAAUUACGUGCCAGCAGCCGCGGUAAUACGUAGGUGCAAGCGUUAAUCGGAAUUACUGGGCGCAAGCGUGCAGGCGGUUUCGAAAGAAAGCACGGAAACUGUGAGCUUAACUUUGGAACUGCAUUUUUAAUCACCGAGCUAGAGUGUAACAGGAGGUGAAUUCCCGCGUGUAGCAGUGAAAUGCGUAGAUAUGCGGAGGAACACCGACAUGGUGUGGCUGCAGCCUCUGGGAUAACACCGACGCUCAUGCACGAAAGCGUGGGGAGCAAGAGGACGUAGAUACUCCGGUAGUCCACGCCCUAAACGAUGUCAACUAGCUGUUGGGGCCUUCGGGGCUCGGUAGCGCAGCUUAACGGUGGUUGACCGCCUGGGAGCAUGGUCGCAAGAUUGGUAAACCCAAAGGAAUUGACGGGACCCGUACUGCUGGUGAUAUGGGAUUAGUAUCUGAUGCAAUCGCGAAAACCUUACCUACCCUUUAGACAUGUCUGGAAUCCCGAAGAGAUUUGGGAGUGCUCGCAAGAGAACCGGAACACAGGUGCUGUGCAUGGCUGUCGUCAGCUCGUGUCGAGAUGUUGGGUUAAGUCCCGCAACGAGCGCAACCCUUGUCAGCUAGUUGCUGCUUUGGUGUGGGCACUCCCAUCGAGACUGCCGGUGACAAACCGAGGAAGGUGGGAUGACGUCAAGUCCUCAUGGCCCUUAUGGGUAGGGCUUCACAUCAUGGUAUGCAACACACAGAGGUCGCCAACCCGCGAGGGGGAGCCAUCCAGAAACCGAUCGUAGUCCGGAUCGCAGUCUGCAACUCGACUGCGUGAAGUCGGAAUCGCUAGUAAUCGCGGAUCAGCAUGUGUCGCGGUGAAUACGUUCCCGGGUCUUGUACACACCGCCCGUCACACCGCGCAGGAGUGGGUUUUACCAGAAGUAGUUAGCCUUAACCGUAAGGAGGGCGAUUACCACGGUAGGAUUCAUGACUGGGGUGAAGUCGUAACAAGGUAG
rnacentral:rRNA from 1 species